ACGGGGGGAGCAAGCGUUGUUCGGAAUCACUGGGCGUAAAGGGCGUGUAGGCGGUUGCGUAAGUGGAAUGUGAAAUCCCCCGGCUUACCCGGGGACCUGCAUCCCAAACUGCGCGACUUGAGUAUGGGAGAGGAUGAGGGAAUUCCUGGUGUAGCGGUGAAAUGCGUAGAUAUCAGGAGGAACACCGGUGGCGAAGGCGCUCAUCUGGCCCAAUACUGACGCUGAGGCGCGAAAGCUAGGGUAGCGAACGGGA
rnacentral:rRNA from 1 species